rnacentral:rRNA from 1 species
CCUAAGGUAGCGAAAUUCCUUGUCGGGUAAGUUCCGACCUGCACGAAUGGCGUAAUGAUGGCCAGGCUGUCUCCACCCGAGACUCAGUGAAAUUGAACUCGCUGUGAAGAUGCAGUGUACCCGCGGCAAGACGGAAAGACCCCGUGAACCUUUACUAUAGCUUGACACUGAACAUUGAGCCUUGAUGUGUAGGAUAGGUGGGAGGCUUUGAAGUGUGGACGCCAGUCUGCAUGGAGCCGACCUUGAAAUACCACCCUUUAAUGUUUGAUGUUCUAACGUUGACCCGUGAUCCGGGUUGCGGACAGUGUCUGGUGGGUAGUUUGACUGGGGCGGUCUCCUCCUAAAGAGUAACGGAGGAGCACGAAGGUUGGCUAAUCCUGGUCGGACAUCAGGAGGUUAGUGCAAUGGCAUAAGCUAGCUUGACUGCGAGCGUGACGGCGCGAGCAGGUGCGAAAGCAGGUCAUAGUGAUCCGGUGGUUCUGAAUGGAAGGGCCAUCGCUCAACGGAUAAAAGGUACUCCGGGGAUAACAGGCUGAUACCGCCCAAGAGUUCAUAUCGACGGCGGUGUUUGGCACCUCGAUGUCGGCUCAUCACAUCCUGGGGCUGAAGUAGGUCCCAAGGGUAUGGCUGUUCGCCAUUUAAAGUGGUACGCGAGCUGGGUUUAGAACGUCGUGAGACAGUUCGGUCCCUAUCUGCCGUGGGCGCUGGAGAAUUGAGGGGGGCUGCUCCUAGUACGAGAGGACCGGAGUGGACGCAUCACUGGUGUUCGGGUUGUCAUGCCAAUGGCACUGCCCGGUAGCUAAAUGCGGAAGAGAUAAGUGCUGAAAGCAUCUAAGCACGAAACUUGCCCCGAGAUGAGUUCUCCCUGAGACUUUAAGUCUCCUGAAGGAACGUUGAAGACGACGACGUUGAUAGGCCGGGUGUGUAAGCGCAGCGAUGCGUUGAGCUAACCGGUACUAAUGAACCGUGAGGCUUAACCUU